ACAUUCCUUGUUUUAUUGUUUGCAUGGAUCAUAAGCUUCCUAACAGACAGGAAACAGCAGGUGAAGCUAGGUGGAAUCACAUCGGAUACCUGCACAAUCAGCACAGGGAGCCCCCAAGGCUAUGUGCUAUCUCCACUUUUCUUUUCCCUAUAUACCAAUGACUGCAUCUCAAAUGAUCCAUCUGUUAAAAUACUGAAGUUUGCUGAUGACACAAGAGUGAUUGGUCUCAUUCGAGACAACGAUGAAUUUGCAUACAGACAGGAGGUUAUA